ensembl:lncRNA
CCUCGUGGUGCCCAAGGGCAGGGCCGACAGGGCCAGGCUCCGGCCCAAGGGCCGUGGGGCUAUCACUUCUGGUCAAGUCAGUAAGUUCCUCCACCUGUGCCAGCGGAGGGACCUGGCCAACCCCUGACAGGAGCCAGGCUGAGGAUGAGAUCAGCCCAGGACAGAUCAGCACUGGGGGUCUGGCUCCUGCUCUCCAGUUUCCCGCUCUCCAGUUUGCCGCUCCCAGGGUCCUGAGGAACUUGGGGCAGGUGGGUGUGGGGGGAACGCGGGUGCGGAUCUCCGCCGUGAGCUCCACUGAGGCCGGGGACGCAGUCUCCUUAGAGCUUCGGUUCUUAGUCACGAUUUCCCAGUCUCCUCUCUGCCUGUCUUUCACUCCUACCAACCUCGGCAACAGGGGUGGAAGGCAGGUGUGAGCCACAGGGGCUGAGGCAGGGACGUCCCUGAGGCCAGGCCCUGGGGGUCGAGGUCACAGCACGGGCUGCCAGGACACCGCAGGCUCCAGUGUCACAGGUGCACACCCACAGACAAGGCCACUGUGGGGUGAAGCGGGGAGGCUGGGCCUGGGGUGACAGUGUGGCCACAGGGACAAGGGAGGCGCCUCACAAAGGGGACCAGCGGGCCACAGGCUGAUGAGACAGUGCCGCCCAAGGUGACCCAGGGCCCCGGGCACCGUGUUCCCAGCAUGUGAGUCCAGCAGGAAAACCCAAGGCAACUGCAGAGAAGGGGUCCCCAGCCCCGGCCCCUGCAGAUCUGGUUUGCUCCUGACGGCUGGGAGCUCCCAGGUGGCCUCUGGAGGCCUCUCCCCCCACACACCCAGGCUGGCCAAGGAGGAGCUGCGUGGGGCUCUCCAGCCCCUGCAGAUCAAAGGCCCAGGUGCAGGGUCCCGGGGUUCAGAUCCAGGGCAAGCCGCCCGGGGUGGGGAUUCUCGGAACACUGCUUCAUUCGGUUCCCUCCUCCUCAUAGCUCGGCUGCCAGGGUGCUGAGCGAGAAUGUUGGCAGGGCUCUUCCUGGCUCCCACAGUUCAGAGGCGCUGGCCGUGGGAGCCAGGAAAGGACCCGGGUGCUAGGGUCUCAGUGCAGGCAGGCGGGACAAGGCCUCCGAGGGCAGCUGCUUCUCCUGGCCACCAGGCCCCAGGCUCCUGAGCAGGUCACGCACCUGCAGCCGCCUCGCCACUGCCUUCCCCAGCUUGGGCGGGGGUUAGUGGUAGGAGCGCAGGCUCCCAGGCAGCACGCGCUGCCACUUGUGUGGAACAGAGAUGUCGUGUAUGAGGAGAUUGUGUCAGAGAGCUCUGUGAUACACGUGGUCCCCAAACUGACUUCAACUGACUUGUUUGCUCAAGUGACAGAAAAUGAUUGUAUGUAUUUAUGGGGUUCACCGUGCUGUUCUGAUGUCUGUGUGGGUGGGAAAAAGAGUGAAUGGGCCCUGACACACCCCUCACUCACCUCCUUCUUCCUUUGCCUGUCGCAUACUUUUCACUUCUGGGCUUGGAAGCCCUGGAGCCAGGUCUGAAGCAGAGGGGGGCCCCCAGCCCUGGGUGCUGCGUGUCCUGCCUUUCAUCAGAUUCAGAACAAAGAACAGCACAGUGAUGUAAAGACGAAGAAACAGAAUUUUAAAAGUUGCUUCAAUCCUGUCCUAUAAGACUUGGAAUUUAUGCUGGGCAUGGUAGCACACACCUGUAAUCCCACCACUUGGGAGGCUGAGGCAGGAGAAUCACUGGGAGUUCAAGACCAGCCUGGACCACAUAGCAAGACCCUGACUAAAAAAAAAGAGGGAGAGAUUUGGAAUUUUUGUUUGGACUUAAAAUUUUUAAAUAGUGAAGGAGUUUAAGGUGUCAUUUUUUGGUUUAAUAAGUGAACAUUGUAGUUCCUAUUGGCAAUAUUUUACUAAAUUGUAGUAUCUUGAAAGUUGAAAUGUAUUCUUUUUCAACGCUUAUUGUUUUAGAACUAAAGAAAGAGCCAAAAAAUUUAGUAAUUGUUGAAAUACCUUUUGCAGGUAUUUUGGUUUUAUGGAAACUUUUAUUGGUUACUAGAUAAUUAUUGACAUAAAAAUUAACAAUCAGAUCCUAAUCGGAAC